UAGUUUCGAGUAUAAAUACUGUUCAAGAACUGAAUCAAAUCAUCAGUCAACCGCUACCAGCUCAGUGCACAAGUUAUUCAAGCUCUGCAGGAGUUUUACACAAACCAAUCAAAUCAAAAUGUUCAAAUUCCUGAUUGUCGUUCUGGCCGUUAUUGCCGCCGCCAUGGCCGCACCCCAGGUCUUCUACAACACACCGGCAUCCUACGCAUACUCCUCCAGCGUCGUCCGGCCAUCGUUCUACUCCGGAAGCUACGUCCCGACCGCUUACUCCACUGGAUCGUAUGUGGCCUCCCCCGCUGCCUACUCGUACGGUGCCUACCCGUAUGCUUACCUGUAAACUGGCUGGAAAUUGGAACUGGAUUUUUGGAAAUGGACUUUUGAGGGAUAAGUGGAACUGCAUUCUGGAAUGAAAUCAGCUUUUUCAAAAUUGUUUUGCAGUAAAUAUACAUUUAAACACAA